rnacentral:rRNA from 1 species
GAUGAACGCUAGCUACAGGCUUAACACAUGCAAGUCGAGGGGCAGCAUGAACAUAGCUUGAUAUGUUUGAUGGCGACCGGCGCACGGGUGCGUAACACGUAUCCAAUCUACCCAUGGCUCGGGGAUAGCCUUUCGAAAGAAAGAUUAAUACCCGAUGGUCUCGGUUUAAGGCAUCUUAGACUGAGUAAAGUUUUAUCGGCUAUGGAUGAGGAUGCGUCUGAAUAGGUAGAUGGCGGGGUAACGGCCCACCAUGCCUACGAUCAGUAGGGGUUCUGAGAGGAAGGUCCCCCACAGUGGAACUGAGACACGGUCCAAACUCCUACGGGAGGCAGCAGUGAGGAAUAUUGGUCAAUGGACGAGAGUCUGAACCAGCCAAGUAGCGUGAAGGAUGACUGCCCUAUGGGUUGUAAACUUCUUUUGUUUGGGAAUAAAGUUCGGGACGUGUCCCGUUUUGUAUGUACCAUUCGAAUAAGCAUCGGCUAAUUCCGUGCCAGCCGCCGCCGUAAGAC